rnacentral:lncRNA from 1 species
AUCCACUACAAGAAACCAACAUGGUUUGAGGGAUCAAUUCCAGAAAGCUUAGAUAGGCUCCCCUGGGAUUAUAACACAGUGCCAAAGAGUCAUAUGAAGCUCAUGAAAUGCCAGGGUAUCCAUCAUAAGGGCAGGGUACAAAAGUGGGGAAUUUAAUAGACCAAUAGUUCUCUGGCCAUGCAAACCAAACUCCAGCCAGCAGACCAGAAAAAGUCUGGAACUAGUCCCAUGGAAGUGAAUGACAAGGCAUAAGAAGGGUACAAGGGACACAGGCAAAGGAACUGAGUUUCAAGUUAUUCCUCUGACUCCUUUGGAUGCAUAGGGCUCUGAGAAGUCCUCCAAGCCGCCAGGAGAGGACGUAGACUUCAUAGAAGGAGUCUGCAUCCCUGAAUGACUCUCAGAAGCAAAG